rnacentral:rRNA from 1 species
GACGUGAGGGCGCGAGCGUUGUCCGGAUUUAUUGGGCGUAAAGAGCUCGUAGGCGGCUUGUCGCGUCGUCCGUGAAAACCUCGCAGCUCAACUGCAGGCUUGCGGUCGAUACGGGCAGGCUAGGAGUUCGGUGAGGGGAGACUGGAAUUCCUGGUGUAGCGGUGAAAUGCGCAGAUAUCAGGAGGAACACCGGUGGCGAAGGCGGGUCGUCUGGCCGAUACUGACGCUGAGGAGCGGAAAGCGUGGGGAGCGAAGCACGG